GAUGAACGCUGGCGGCGUGCCUAAUACAUGCAAGUCGAGCGAACAGACGAGGAGCUUGCUCCUUUGACGUUAGCGGCGGACGGGUGAGUAACACGUGGGUAACCUACCUAUAAGACUGGGAUAACUUCGGGAAACCGGAGCUAAUACCGGAUAAUAUUUCGAACCGCAUGGUUCGAUAGUGAAAGAUGGCUUUGCUAUCACUUAUAGAUGGACCUGCGCCGUAUUAGCUAGUUGGUAAGGUAACGGCUUACCAAGGCAACGAUACGUAGCCGACCUGAGAGGGUGAUCGGCCACACUGGAACUGAGACACGGUCCAGACUCCUACGGGAGGCAGCAGUAGGGAAUCUUCCGCAAUGGGCGAAAGCCUGACGGAGCAACGCCGCGUGAGUGAUGAAGGUCUUCGGAUUGUAAAACUCUGUUAUUAGGGAAGAACAAACGUGUAAGUAACUGUGCACGUCUUGACGGUACCUAAUCAGAAAGCCACGGCUAACUGCGUGCCAGCAGCCGCGGUAAUACGUAGGUGGCAAGCGUUAUCCGGAAUUAUUGGGCGUAAAGCGCGCGUAGGCGGUUUUUUAAGUCUGAUGUGAAAGCCCACGGCUCAACCGUGGAGGGUCAUUGGAAACUGGAAAACUUGAGUGCAGAAGAGGAAAGUGGAAUUCCAUGUGUAGCGGUGAAAUGCGCAGAGAUAUGGAGGAACACCAGUGGCGGAGGCGACUUUCUGGUCUGUAACUGACGCUGAUGUGCGAAAGCGUGGGGACCAAACAGGAUUAGAUACCCAGGUAGUCCACGCCGUAAACGAUGAGUGCUAAGUGUUAGGGGGUUUCCGCCCCUUAGUGCUGCAGCUAACGCAUUAAGCACUCCGCCUGGGGAGUACGACCGCAAGGUUGAAACUCAAAGGAAUUGACGGGGACCCGCACAAGCGGUGGAGCAUGUGGUUUAAUUCGAAGCAACGCGAAGAACCUUACCAAAUCUUGACAUCCUUUGACCCUUCUAGAGAUAGAAGUUUCCCCUUCGGGGGACAAAGUGACAGGUGGUGCAUGGUUGUCGUCAGCUCGUGUCGUGAGAUGUUGGGUUAAGUCCCGCAACGAGCGCAACCCUUAAGCUUAGUUGCCAUCAUUAAGUUGGGCACUCUAAGUUGACUGCCGGUGACAAACCGGAGGAAGGUGGGGAUGACGUCAAAUCAUCAUGCCCCUUAUGAUUUGGGCUACACACGUGCUACGAUGGACAAUACAAAGGGCAGCGAAACCGCGAGGUCAAGCAAAUCCCAUAAAGUUGUUCUCAGUUCGGAUUGUAGUCUGCAACUCGACUACAUGAAGCUGGAAUCGCUAGUAAUCGUAGAUCAGCAUGCUACGGUGAAUACGUUCCCGGGUCU
rnacentral:rRNA from 1 species